rnacentral:rRNA from 1 species
AUUGAACGCUAGCGGGAUGCCUUACACAUGCAAGUCGAACGGAGCGGCGAACGGGUGAGUGAUGUAUCGGAACGUACCCAGUAGCGGGGGAUAACUACGCGAUAGAGUAGCUAAUACCGCCAACUAUUGGAGCGGUCGAGAACGGAUUUGCUAGUUGGUGGGGUAACGGCUCACCAAGGCGACGAACCGUAGCUGGUUUGUGAGGACGACCAGCCACACUGGGACUGAGACACGGCCCAGACUCCUACGGGAGGCAGCAGUGGGGAAUAUUGGACAAUGGGGGAAACCCUGAUCCAGCCAUCCCGCGUGUGUGAAGAAGGCCUUCGGGUUGUAAAGCACUUUUAGCAGGAAGGCGGUACCUGCAGAAUAAGCACCGGCUAACUACGUGCCAGCAGCCGCGGUAAUAC